CGAUAACUCAAGAACGCUUGGGCCUAGGAUCAUGAAACUUCAUAGGUACAUUGAUCAUGACUCGCAGAUGACCCCUAUUGAUUUUGAGUUCACUAGGUCAAAAGUCAAGGUCACGGUGACCAGAAAUAGUAAAAUGGUUUUUGAAUGAUAACUCAAUAACGCAUACGCCUAGGAUCAUAAAACUUCAUGGGUAGAUUGAUCAUGACUUGCAGAUGACCCCUAUUGAUUUUGAGGUCACUACGUCAAAGGUCAAGGUCACGGUCACGGUGACCCGAAAUAGGAAAAUGAUUUUCGGAUGAUAACUCAAGAACGCUUUUGCCUAGGAUCAUGACACUUCAUAGGUACAUUGAUCGUGACUCGCAGAUGACCCCUAUUGAUUUUCAGGUCACUAGGUCAAAGGUCAAGUUCACAGUGACAAAAAUCGUAUUCACACAAUGGCUGCCACUACAACGGACAGUCCAUAUGGGGGGCAUGCAUGUUUUACAAACAGCCCUUGUUUCUUAUAUGGCUUUACUGUAUGGUAAAACCUUGUUAACACUCUAGAAGUCACAUUUGUGGUCCAAUGCUCAUGAAACUUGGUCAGAAUAUUUGAACUAAUAAUAUCUGGGCUAAGUUCAAAAAUGGUUGAGAUCAGUUAAAAGACAUGGUUGCAAGGGGGCGUGGCAUUUUUCCGUAAAUGGCUAUUUACUACAAAACCUUGUUAACACUCUAGAAGUCACAUUUAUUAUCCAAUCUUUAUGAAACUUGAUCUGAACAUUUGUUCUAACAAUAGCUUGAGUGAGUUUAAAAAUGGUUAUGGAUUGUUGAAAAACACGGCCGCCAGGGGGGGGGGGCAGUUGUCCUUAUAUGGCUUUAGUGAAAACUUGUUGACACUAUAUUAGCCACAUUUAUUGGCCAAUCUUCAUGAAACUUGGUCAGAACAUUUGUCCCAAUGAAAUUUUGCCAGAGAUUGAAGCUGGGUCAUAUGAGCUCAAAAACUAGGUCACAAGGUCAAAUAUAAAAAAACAUGUUAAAAGUCACUUUUUUGGUCCAAAAUAAUCUUCAUGAAUCAGCUUGCAUUUUUUUCAGAAUAGUCUAGUUCCUUUGGCUUUCAGGUGAGCGCCUUAGGGCCUGAUGGCCCUCUUGUCUUAUUUUUGAAAGAUAAUCUAAUAAAUGACCACCCCCACCACAUGAUACCCCCUCUCCACCCCAACCCACCACCUCCCACCAAAAAAAGAUUUUUUUUUUGAAACAUUGUAAAACUUGAAAAAAAAUCUUAUUACUUUGUUUUAUAUCUUUACAAAUGUUCAAUAGAUUGUAGAAAAUAUACCUGAACUCAGAAUCGUCUAUAAAGUACAACUUCUUUAAAACAUAAGCGAUCGAUAUGUUUCAAUUAUGGUCCUCUUCCACUUAGAAUAUGACUAUAUUACCUUGACCUUAUUGCAUAUGAACAAUUUCCCAUUGAUGGCUUAUGUUAUACUGUCAAGCACUCGAAUAGUCAAGCGCGCUGUCUUCUGACAGCUCUUGUUAUUAUUUGCUUUCUAACUUUUCUAUUGUAACACAGCUCAGUCUGUAUUGGACACCAUGCCAAACAGAUCACAGUUUAAUAAGCUACUAAAUUGCAUAUGACCAAACUUAAUCAGUAUAACUUGGAACUAAUAAAUAUUGAUAUUACAUUUAUGUUCCGGGCAAUUAUUUUUUAUGCUCCCCCAAAAUUUAUUUUUGGGGGAGCAUAUAGUCGCCGCUUUGUCUGUCUGUGUGUGCGUCUGUCUGUCCGUCCGUGCACAAUUUUUGUCUGCGCUAUUUCUCAGCAACUAAUGACCGGAAUUCAAUAAAACUUAAUGGGAAGCUCCAUUACCAAGAGGAGAUGUGCAUAUUAUCAGCGGGUUCUGGUCGGAUGAUUUUUCACAGAGUUAUGGCCCUCUGAAAUUUUUGAAAUUUCCAUUAACUGUUCAUAUAGUGCAAUUCUUGUCCGGGCUAUUUCUCAGCAACAAAUGACCGGAAUUCAAUGAAACUUUACGGGAAGCUUCACUACCAAGAGGAGAUGUGCAUAUUAUCAGCGGGUUCUGGUCGGAUGAUUUUUCACAGAGUUAUGGCCCUUUGAAAUUUUCUAUAAAAAAUUCUUGUCCCCCCAACUACUGUGCCCUCAAGAUGUUUCCUUUUAUCUGAAUAUAUAGUGCAAUAUUGUGACAAAAAAAAAUCUUUGGGGAGCAUCAUCCGUCUCUUGCAAAAAGUUAACCCACUUUCAUACCAAAACACACUUAAACCAACAUAAAACUGUGUUUUUUCUAAGUUUUUCUGAGCAGAAGUUGGUUUUUGCUAAUAAAAGCGAGUUUUAUGUGAGUUUAAAGUUGGUUUUUUAAAGUAGAUGUGUGUUAAAGCCAGUUUUUUUGCUUUAAGAAGUUGGUUUUGUGUGUGUCAAAAGUGAGUCUUUUUAUUUAUGAGUUGGUUUAUGUGUGUUUAAGUGUGUUUUUUUGUUUCAUAAGCGAGUCUUUUACAACAGAAGUUGGUCUUUUUAUAAACAGAAGUGGGUUUAAGCGAGUUUAAGUUGGUCUUUUUAUAAAUCAUUUGAGAGCCGCAACAAGGCUAAAAGACUCACUUUAACACACUUUUCAAUAAGUUGGUCUUUCGUUUAUUAAUAUAACUCAACAAUGAAACAAUAAUUCUUCAACUAGGUCUUUGUUUCAUGUUUAUAGCCAUAUAUUAUCAAGGUGAAUUGUAAAGGGGCUUUUUUACAGCUUGUUUGCCAUUGCACCUUUUGUACAUUUGUGGGCUCCCCAUAAUUUUAAGGAAAUAUUGGAUGAACAUUGCUCUUUCAGAACAUCACAGGUUCACAGAUGGACAACAAGUAUCACUGCCAAAGACUAUAAAAAUGUUAAAAUGUUCAAACUUAGUUUUAUACCUGAAUAUGAAAUGGUUUGUCUUACACUUUGAAUCAAUAAAUAACUAUUAAAUAUAAUAUAAGAACAAUCACACAUCUAUAAAAAUGUGAAUACUUCCAUUUAAUUCAUGUUCUUUGGAGAAUUCAAUAGACUAACAGUAUGUUUUUUUAUUCAUUUUUUUUUUGGGGGGGGGGGAGGCCUGACACUGUUUCUAUAAUAAAUAAAACUAGUUUCAGUGUGAAAGUGUUGAUUAAUAUAUGGAAACUUAUGUGGGCUUGCCAGCAUCCAUUAUAUCUCCUCAACAUAAAAACAAUAACUAUUUUAACUUUCUUAUACUGAUAUUUAACCCCAAUACAAUUAAUGCCUACCACAUUGACCUUUAACAUACAAUUUAAAAGGCAAUAAAAAUAAUAUUUAUAAUAUUAUUAUUUGCUAACACCAUUCAGCAUGCUAUAUUGAUUAUUCAUCAAGGGUGAAGCUAAGGGUGCUGGGUAUUAUUCAAUAAAUAUGUUGGUGUUGAAAUCAGUGGAUAUUUCUCAGAUUUAGUAAUUGGCUGACACACAUAAGAGAUUAGCCCCCCCCCCCAUUAAAUCAUAAACAUUAAUCCCUAUCAGUGCUCCAACUAUAGGCCUAACAAAGGGGUGUUGAUAGACUUUUGAUUGGUUCAGCCACCAUCUAUUUGAAAACAAGCGAGUUUGAUUGGCUGGAGACAGGAAGUUAUUUUUUGUAAACAAAGGGAGUUUUCAGCAACUGACUUUUAGCUAAAUUUAAGGUAUAAUUGAGUAACAUUAAGACUUAUAAUUCUAGUUUAAAAUGUCUUGAAAUACUUUCAGCAUGAAGUUUUGUGUGAUGAAAAUAAUGUGUAUUUACUACAAUGUGUAAAUCAACAAUAAGUUUGUUGCAAAGGAGAUUCAAAGUGGGUGGUUAAAGUGCUAUGGUCUCAUAAUUCAUCAACUGCCUGUUUUCUUGGAAUACUGAAGAACAGUUGUUUAAGGUUUGUAUUUUCAUUUUUGCAUCCCUUUUUUAUUUAGUUUUAUAUUGAAUUAAUUAUUAUCAUUAUCAUAUAUAUGUUUUGUCACUGGGAAAUGUAAAUGGAUAAGUAUAAAUGUAAUGCAAUUAUAAGGAAAAACAACACCAUUUGAAUUAUUAUGGCUGUAUUUUAUGGUUAUUGUCAUCUUAAAUGUUAUUUAUACCAUACAUGCCAGACGUCCCGAUCUCGGCGGGACAGUCCCGCUUUUGGGCCCUUUGUCCCGCCGUCCCGAUAUGAGAUGAUUUGUCCCGACAUUCGUAAAAAACGAGGUAAGGUCUAUAGGUUCACAAUAAAAUUCGCUAUUCAAGCUCUGUUUCGCUAACACUUACCACCGCUAAUCCCUUUAUUGCCCCCAAUUAACAAUCCGAUUCUACUUCUCGUGUGUACCAGUGUUGUUUAUGACACCUUAUCAGCGAUUUAUCGGCUAAAUAUUGAUUUUAUCAAGCAUUCACACCAUGGUGGUCUUCAAGAUAGCGGUCGCUUAUUUCUAUCGAUAGUUGUAUAAUAAAUUAAUGAAAUAAAUGUUGAAAAUGUGUUUGUUUUUGUCUUUGUUUUAAAUGGUUUACAAAACAAUUGUUUUGUAAAAUUAACUCUAUGUCAUUAAUGAGUCUACUCCAAUUACGCCGCGACAAUUGACAAGUAACAAACUGCGCAUAGAUACAUGCUUAAAAAACAUUGCAUUCCGUGUCAAGCUGAUGUAACUGUUCUGUAGAUAGUUUACUGUAACACGUACUUUCAGUGUACUGGAUAGCCUCCCCUGCGUUACGAUGUUUGCCAUUGAAAGUAAUAUAAUAUGUAUUGUUGUUGUAAUGUUCCAGAUUUUGUACUAAAAAGAUUAAUAUUAUCUUCAUUGUUUGCUAUUGCCUUAUGUUAUAAAACUGUUAUUGUUAUGGUUUAGAUUUCAUGCUUUAUAUCAGAUGUUUUAUGUCUUGAAUAAAAGUAUCAAAGUUUUUGUUGGUACUAUACUGACUACAGUAAAGAUGGAAUGAUAGAUCGUUUUAGGUGUCCUGCUUUUUGGUCAAAUGUCCCGACAAUUUUUUAUGGAAUGUCCCGCUUUGGACCUGAAAAAUUCUGGCAUGUAUGUUUAUACCUAUUUCUGGUCAUUAAUGAACAGAUUUCUUUCCCACAUAUUCAAUGAGAACUUUUAUAUUUUAAAUUUGAAGGUGAAACUCCCAAGGUGAAAUUUACAUUGAUUGGAAGAUUAUUUGGAUAGAAUAUGCAUCAUAGCCUGCCAAAAAAGAGAGCAAAAGGGGGACUAACUGAUGUAUGGACUUUGAUACCAGGUUUUACCCUGCACGAGCAGGCCAACUCGAGGAGAUCAGGAGUGGGAAAACCGAGCCCUGUCCUUGACCAAGAAAAGUUGGAUUUGUUGAGAGGACCUGAUCUCAAAUGAGAUCAUGCACGAGACGCACCACACAAAGGCCAUGACAGUAUAGUUUUCAGACCUGAUCAGCUGGUGACUGCUCUAUGAAGUGUCGUUCAACCUCCCCUUAGGGGGGAUUCGAGAGGGUCUUCUGAUUGCCGAAAACUGCGCCAUUGUUGAUGUCAUCUCCUUAAAAAUUGCCCUGACCAUUUCAACAGUGUGGCAGAAAAAAUGAGAUGGGCCUUGAGGAGGCUUCAUGUCAUGUACUGCGCGGAGAAUAUAUGAGCUGUGUAGUGCUGAGGAAUUUGUUGCGUUUGUAUAUAGUUGUAAAUAUGUGUAAAGGGCUAUUCCAGAAAAAAAUAGUAACACACAAAAAACCAACAUACCGAAACUCACAAAAAACCAACAUACCAAAACCCACAAAAAACCAACAAACCAAAACCCACAAAAAACCAACAUACCAAAACCCACAAAAAACCAACAUACCAAAACCACAAAAAACCAACUUACCAAAACCCACAUAUGUGUACCAAGUGAGUUUUUUCUGUGUUUUACUCAGUUUUAACCAAGUUGGUAAAAAUACCCACUUUAAACACAGAAAAAACCAAUUUACAUAAACUCACAAAAACCAACAUACCAAAACCCACUAAAAACCAACUUACCAAAACCAACAAAAAAACAACCUACCGAAACCCACUUUGGUACCAAGUGAGUUUUUUCUGUGUUUU